rnacentral:rRNA from 1 species
GACGAACGCUGGCGGCGUGCCUAAUACAUGCAAGUAGAACGCACAGUUUAUACCGUAGCUUGCUCCACCAUAGACUGUGAGUUGCGAAUGUGUGAGUAACGCGUAGGUAACCUGCCUGGUAGCGGGGGAUAACUAUUUGAAACGAUAGCUAAUACCGCAUAAUAUUGAUUAUUGCAUGAUAAUUGAUUGAAAUAUGCUAUUGCAUCACUAUCACCUGUUCCUUCUUUGUAUUAGCUAGUAGGUGAGGUAACGGCUCACCUAGGCGACGAUACAUAGCCGACCUGAGAGGGUGAUCGGCCACACUGGGACUGAGACACGGCCCAGACUCCUACGGGAGGCAGCAGUAGGGAAUCUUCGGCAAUGGACGAAAGUCUGACCGAGCAACGCCGCGUGAGUGAAGAAGGUUUUCGGAUCGUAAAGCUCUGUUGUAAGAGAAGAACGGGUGUGAGAGUGGAAAGUUCACACUGUGACGGUAUCUUACCAGAAAGGGACGGCUAACUACGUG